CCUACGGGGGGCAGCAGUGAGGAAUAUUGGGCAAUGGGCGCGAGCCUGAACCAGCCAAGUAGCGUGAAGGAUGACUGCCCUACGGGUUGUAAACUUCUUUUAUAUGGGAAUAAAGUGAGGAACUUGUUCCUUUUUGUAUGUACCAUAUGAAUAAGCAUCGGCUAACUCCGUGCCAGCAGCCGCGGUAAUACGGAGGAUGCGAGCGUUAUCCGGAUUUAUUGGGUUUAAAGGCUGCGUAGGUGGUUAAUUAAGUCAGCGGUGAAAGUUUGUGGCUCAACCAUAACAUUGCCGUUGAAACUGGUUGUCUUGAGUAUAUUUGAGGUAGGCGGAAUGCGUGGUGUAGCGGUGAAAUGCAUAGAUAUCACGCAGAACUCCGAUUGCGAAGGCAGCUUACUAAACUAUAACUGACACUGAAGCACGAAAGCGUGGGGAUCAAACAGGAUUAGAUACCCCAGUAGUC
rnacentral:rRNA from 1 species